UGGAAUUUCUGGGAUGGCAUUUCUAGGUAGUGUUACCCACACAUGAGGACAAUAUUAAAACACAAAAUUGGAUUCUAACCAUCCCCCUUUGUGCUGCAUAACAAGGAGAAAGGAGAAGUCCAACACACCCAUUUGAAAAAUGGGCAACCAAUAUCCUAAAUGCCUGCAUGUACUUGAUAAUUUCCAUUUGCACUACUGAGGAGAGAAGAAACUUUUUACUUGAGUUGAGUGACUUCAAUGUUCAAGAGAGAAGUCAGAUUCGGCAGUGACCAAUUAAGUGGGAUUUAAAGAUGCAUGCACUUCCUCAUAGAAAAAAAAUAGGGCCCCGGUGGGGUGAAGUUAAGAGAUAGACAGAGGUGUAUGGAGGAGGAAAUGAGAAACACUACAAAGACAAAAAGAGAUCUCUUCCUUGAUUAACAUCUCUCCUAGUUGACCCUUCAUUAUUUCUGGUCUUUUUCCACAUCCAGCCAAUAAGAUGACUCCCUGGGGAAGGACUUUCAUUAAUUUGUAACCAGAGCAAGUCCUUCCCAAGAGCCCUGAUCACACACCUCUUCCUUCAGACUAGUCUUUCUCCAACUUCAAACAUUGGCAUGUUUUCUUUCUGAUCUUUGGUUUCUCAAUUCGCCACCUAUAUUUUUUCCCCUGGUUACUAUUUAUUUAUACUGACUCACUUUUAAAACUUUUUAUGACAAAAAGAAAAAUGUGUCACUUGCAGUGAAUAGAAACUAGCCAGAAAAAGA